rnacentral:rRNA from 1 species
CACGUAGGGUGCGAGCGUUGUCCGGAAUUAUUGGGCGUAAAGAGCUCGUAGGCGGUGUGUCGCGUCGGCCGUGAAAACCUGCAGCUUAACUGUGGGCUUGCGGUCGAUACGGGCAUCACUGGAGUUCGGCAGGGGAGACUGGAAUUCCUGGUGUAGCGGUGGAAUGCGCAGAUAUCAGGAGGAACACCGGUGGCGAAGGCGGGGUCUCUGGGCAGUAACUGACGCUGAGGAGCGAAAGCGUGGGGAGCGAACAGG